ACCAGACUCCUACGGGAGGCAGCAGUGGGGAAUAUUGCACAAUGGGGGAAACCCUGAUGCAGCGACGCCGCGUGAGUGAAGAAGUAUUUCGGUAUGUAAAGCUCUAUCAGCAGGGAAGAAAAUGACGGUACCUGAUUAAGAAGCCCCGGCUAACUACGUGCCAGCAGCCGCGGUAAUACGGAGGAUGCGAGCGUUAUCCGGAUUUAUUGGGUUUAAAGGGUGCGCAGGCGGAAGAUCAAGUCAGCGGUAAAUUUGAGGGGCUCACCCUCUCCGAGCCGUUGAAACUGGUUUUCUUGAGUGAGCGAGAAGUAUGCGGAAUGCGUGGUGUAGCGGUGAAAUGCAUAGAUAUCACGCAGAACCCCGAUUGCGAAGGCAGCAUGCCGGCUUCCGACUGACGCUGAAGCACGAAAGCGUGGGGAUCGAACAGGAUUAGAUACCCCUGUAA
rnacentral:rRNA from 1 species